UCGCUGCUGACGGCCCACCUGGCCCGGAUGAAGGAGAGCGGCGAGCUCCUCCUCGUCAAGAACAACUACUUGAAGCCUGGGCCCGAAGCGCCCCCCAAGCGGGGCCGCGGCCGGCCCCCCAAGCCCAAGCCCGUCGUCCCCCCGGACGCCGUCCUCCCCCCUCCCCGCCCCCGCGGCCGGCCCCCAAGCCCAAGGACCCCCUCGCCGCCGCGGUUGCCAAGGUCAACAAAGGCCUCCCCAGGGCCCGCGGCCGCCCGCCCAAGAAAGCCCGGCCUGCCGUCUCCGCCGCCGCGGCUCCGGCUU
rnacentral:lncRNA from 1 species